rnacentral:rRNA from 1 species
UACGGAGGGUGCAAGCGUUAUCCGGAUUCACUGGGUUUAAAGGGUGCGUAGGUGGGUUGGUAAGUCAGUGGUGAAAUCCCCGAGCUUAACUUGGGAACUGCCAUUGAUACUAUUAAUCUUGAAUACUGUGGAGGUCAGCGGAAUAUGUCAUGUAGCGGUGAAAUGCUUAGAUAUGACAUAGAACACCCAUUGCGAAGGCAGCUCGCUACACUAUCAUUGACACUGAGGCACGAAAGCGUGGGGAUCAAACAGG